rnacentral:rRNA from 1 species
CCUACGGGUGGCAGCAGUGGGGAAUAUUGGGCAAUGGGCGAAAGCCUGACCCAGCAACGCCGCGUGAAGGAAGAAGGCUUUCGGGUUGUAAACUUCUUUUGACAGGGAAGAGCAGAAGACGGUACCUGUCGAAUAAGCCACGGCUAACUACGUGCCAGCAGCCGCGGUAAUACGUAGGUGGCAAGCGUUGUCCGGAUUUACUGGGUGUAAAGGGCGUGUAGCCGGGCUGACGAGUGAGAUGUGAAAUCCGGGGGCUCAACCCCCGAACUGCAGUUGAAACUGUUGGUCUUGAGUAUCGGAGAGGCAGGCGGAAUUCCUAGUGUAGCGGUGAAAUGCGUAGAUAUUAGGAGGAACACCCGUGGCGAAGGCAGCCUGCUGGACGACAACUGACGGUGAGGCGCGAAAGCGUGGGGAGCAAACAGGAUUAGAUACCCGGGUAGUC